AUUGAACGCUGGCGGCGUGCUUAACACAUGCAAGUCGAGCGGUAACAGGUGUAGCAAUACAUGCUGACGAGCGGCGAACGGGUGAGUAAUGCUUCGGAAUCUUCCUCGUAGUGGGGAAUAACCUGGGGAAACUCAGGCUAAUACCGCAUACGAACUACGGUUGAAAGCAGGGGAUCGCAAGACCUUGCGCUAUGAGAUGAGCCGAAGUCGGAUUAGCUAGUUGGUGAGGUAAAGGCUCACCAAGGCGACGAUCCGUAGCUGGUCUGAGAGGACGACCAGCCACACUGGGACUGGGACACGGCCCAGACUCCUACGGGAGGCAGCAGUGGGGAAUAUUGGACAAUGGGGGCAACCCUGAUCCAGCGACGCCGCGUGUGUGAAGAAGGCCUGCGGGUUGUAAAGCACUUUUAGUGGGGAUGAAAAGCCAAGGGUUAAUACCCUUUGGUCUUGACCUAACCCAAAGAAAAAGCACCGGCUAACUCUGUGCCAGCAGCCGCCGUAA
rnacentral:rRNA from 1 species